rnacentral:rRNA from 1 species
AUUGAACGCUGGCGGCAUGCCUUACACAUGCAAGUCGAACGGCAGCACGGGAGCAAUCCUGGUGGCGAGUGGCGAACGGGUGAGUAAUGUAUCGGAACGUGCCCAGUCGUGGGGGAUAACGUAGCGAAAGCUACGCUAAUACCGCAUACGAUCUGUGGAUGAAAGCGGGGGACCGUAAGGCCUCGCGCGAUUGGAGCGGCCGAUAUCAGAUUAGGUAGUUGGUGGGGUAAAGGCUCACCAAGCCGACGAUCUGUAGCUGGUCUGAGAGGACGACCAGCCACACUGGAACUGAGACACGGUCCAGACUCCUACGGGAGGCAGCAGUGGGGAAUUUUGGACAAUGGGCGCAAGCCUGAUCCAGCAAUGCCGCGUGCAGGAUGAAGGCCUUCGGGUUGUAAACUGCUUUUGUACGGAACGAAAAGGCUCUGGUUAAUACCUGGGGCACAUGACGGUACCGUAAGAAUAAGCACCGGCUAACUACGUGCCAGCCGCCGCAGUAAAAC